AAAGUGUCAAAUUAAGGAUGUGUUCUUUUUGUUGUCAUCGCAGGACUCUCUCUAGGCGUUUUAAACAUGACAAUAGUGAUACCACAAAUGGUUGUAUCAUUUGGAGUUGGUCCUAUUGAUGCGUUAUUUGGAGGUGGGAAUUUACCAGGAUUUGUGGUUGGAGCUAUUGCAGCGGCAAUCAGCAGUGUUGUGGCAUUUUCCGUUUUACCAUAAUUUUUUUUGCGUUUU
rnacentral:sRNA from 1 species